AUGAUCAAUCAAGUUCGCUCUGCAUGCUGGUAUCAUAGAAUGAGAGAAAUUUUUACCUCUACAGCAGAAAGCAUGGCGGCUCCGACAGAAGUUCUCCAGAUUAGUGAAGAUGUAAUUCAGAGUUUCUUGAGGAAUGAUCGUCGAAGGUUGAAGAUGAAGUUUGUGGCUAAAGCGUCAAGAAUGAAGAGUGAUGUAAGGGAUGAAUAUCAUGAUGAGGAAGAUGAAGACAGAGGAGUAUGA